rnacentral:rRNA from 1 species
CCCCCAGUAAGGGCGACUGAACGGGGAGGAGCCCAGCGCGGAACCUCGCGCGCCUCGCCGGCUGCGUCUGAGGAAUGUCGCGUUCCGGAGGGGCCUUCUCCGACCACACCGACCCCCCCCAAGUCCGCUUGAACGCGGCCACUGCCCACGGAGGGUGCGAGGCCCGUACGGGGAUUAGGAGUCGGGCGGUCGGACGGCCCCGUCCGUAGAGUCGGGUUGCCUACUAACGCAGCCCAAAGCAGGUGGUAAACUCCAUCUAAGGCUAAAUAU